rnacentral:tRNA from 1 species
AAUGAAGUGCCUGAAAAAGGAUUAUUUUGAUAGAAUAAAUCAUGUAAGAAAUUACCUUCAUUA